rnacentral:rRNA from 1 species
AGGGUUCGAUUCUGGCUCAGGAUGAACGCUAGCUACAGGCUUAACACAUGCAAGUCGAGGGGCAGCAUUGGAGUAGCAAUACUUCAGAUGGCGACCGGCGCACGGGUGAGUAACACGUAUCCAACCUGCCGCUUACUCGGGGAUAGCCUUCGAAAGAAAGAUUAAUACCCGAUGGUAUAAAGAGUUCGCAUGUUCUCUUUAUUAAAGAAUUUCGGUAAGCGAUGGGGAUGCGUUCCAUUAGAUAGUUGGCGGGGUAACGGCCCACCAAGUCUACGAUGGAUAGGGGUUCUGAGAGGAAGGUCCCCCACAUUGGAACUGAGACACGGUCCAAACUCCUACGGGAGGCAGCAGUGAGGAAUAUUGGUCAAUGGACGAGAGUCUGAACCAGCCAAAGUAGCGUGAAGGAUGACUGCCCUAUGGGUUGUAAACUUCUUUUAUAAGGGAAUAAAGUGAGGGACGUGUCCCUUUUUGUAUGUACCUUAUGAAUAAGGAUCGGCUAACUCCGUGCCAGCCGCCGC